UCAUCGGUUUGCACUUCGAACAGAAUGCCUGGUCUGCGGCUAAGUGUGUUAGUUGUUGUUUGUUUAGGAAGUGUUCGGUCUCAGGUGUCCCUGACAGAGACCGGCGGGGAUGUGAAAAUGCCCGGAGAGACCCUCCUGCUGAGCUGUAAAACCUCCGGGUUCACCUUCAGUAGCUACUACAUGCACUGGGUCCGGCAGCAGCCCGGGAGGGGGCUCGAGUGGGUCGCAGGAAUUAGCAAUGACGCUACCCAGACCUGGUACUCCUCAUCGGUAAAGGGUCGGUUCACCAUCACCAGGGACAAUUCCCAGAACCACCUUAACCUGAACAUAACAAGCCUCAAACCAGAGGACACGGCGGUUUAUUACUGCACUAGAUACACAGUGAUAGGAGUAAGUGAGAUACCCACACAAUAA